rnacentral:rRNA from 1 species
UACGUAGGGAGCAAGCGUUGUUCGGAUUUACUGGGCGUAAAGGGCGCGUAGGCGGUCAGCACAAGUCAGUUGUGAAAUCUCCGGGCUUAACUCGGAAAGGUCAACUGAUACUGUGCGACUAGAGUGCGGAAGGGGCAACUGGAAUUCUCGGUGUAGCGGUGAAAUGCGUAGAUAUCGAGAGGAACACCUGCGGCGAAGGCGGGUUGCUGGGCCGACACUGACGCUGAGGCGCGAAAGCCAGGGGAGCGAACGGG